rnacentral:tRNA from 1 species
GCCCCCGUAGCUCAGUGGAUAGAGCAUUGGAUUCCUAAUCCAUGUGCCGCAUGUUCGAUUCAUGCCGGGGGCACCA